rnacentral:rRNA from 1 species
GGCGGCAGGCCUAAUACAUGCAAGUCGAGCGGAAACGAUGGGAGCUUGCUCUCAGGCGUCGAGCGGCGGACGGGUGAGUAACGCGUAGGAAUCUACCCAGUAGCGGGGGAUAGCCCGAGGAAACUCGGAUUAAUACCGCAUACGCCCCACGGGGGAAAGGCCGGGAUCUUCGGACCGGUCACUAUUGGAGGAGCCUGCGUAGGAUUAGCUUGUUGGUGAGGUAAAGGCUCACCAAGGCUACGAUCCUUAGCUGGUCUGAGAGGACGAUCAGCCACACUGGAACUGAGACACGGUCCAGACUCCUACGGGAGGCAGCAGUAGGGAAUAUUGUGCAAUGGGCGAAAGCCUGACACAGCCAUGCCGCGUGUGUGAAGAAGUCCUUAGGGUUGUAAAGCACUUUCAGUAGGGAGGAAUUAGUAGGGUUAAUAGCCCUGCGAAAUGACGUUACCUACAGAAGAAGCCCCGGCAAACUCCGUGCCAGCAGCCGCGGUAAUACGGAGGGUGCGAACGUUAAUCGGAAUUACUGGGCGUAAAGCGCGCGUAGGUGGUUUAUUAAGUGGGAUGUGAAAGCCCCGGGCUUAACCUGGGAACUGCAUUCCAAACUGAUGAACUAGAGUACGAUAGAGGGGGGUAGAAUUCAGAGUGUAGCGGUGAAAUGCGUAGAUAUUCUGAGGAAUACCGGUGGCGAAGGCGGCCCCCUGGAUUGAUACUGACACUGAG